rnacentral:lncRNA from 1 species
GAUUAUUCUUUCCUUCUCUGUUUCUCCCAUCAGUAUGAUUCUCAUUAUUUAAGAAUAAUUUCAAUUUCCAAACAACUUCUAAAGAAUAUUCAUUAUAAAAUAUUUAUUAAUUUGCAUAAAAUUAAAAAAAAUAAAAUAAAUAGUACAAAUCAUUAUUGUCAUACUUCACUUUUAGUAUAAUAAAACAAAUUAAAUUCACCCGAAAAAUUUAAUUUAGUA